UACGGAGGGUGCAAGCGUUAAUCGGAAUUACUGGGCGUAAAGCGCACGUAGGUGGCCUGUUAAGUCGGGUGUGAAAUCCCUGGGCUCAACCCAGGAAGUGCACUCGAAACUGGCAGGCUUGAGUACUGAAGAGGGUCGCGGAAUUCCCGGUGUAGAGGUGAAAUUCGUAGAUAUCGGGAGGAACACCAGUGGCGAAGGCGGCGACCUGGGCAGAUACUGACACUGAGGUGCGAAAGCGUGGGGAGCAAACAGG
rnacentral:rRNA from 1 species